rnacentral:rRNA from 1 species
GAUGAACGCUGGCGGCGUGCUUAACACAUGCAAGUCGAGCGAGUGAGUUCUUCGGAACAAUCUAGCGGCGGACAGGUGAGUAACACGUGGGCAACCUGCCUCAUAGAGGGGAAUAGCCUCCCGAAAGGGAGAUUAAUACCGCAUAAAAUUAUCGAGUGGCAUCACAUGAUCAUCAAAGGAGUAAUCCGCUAUGAGAUGGGCCCGCGGCGCAUGAGCUAGUUGGUGAGGUAACGGCUCACCAAGGCGACGAUGCGUAGCCGACCUGAGAGGGUGAUCGGCCACAUUGGGACUGAGACACGGCCCAGACUCCUACGGGAGGCAGCAGUGGGGAAUAUUGCACAAUGGGGGAAACCCUGACGCAGCAACGCCGCGUGAGUGAUGAAGGUCUUCGGAUUGUAAAGCUCUGUCUUUGGGGACGAUAAUGACGGUACCCAAGGAGGAAGCCACGGCUAACUACGUGCCAGCAGCCGCGGUAA